UAUUGUAGGUGGGCCCUGCCCGGUGAUUUUAUUUAACGGCCGCAGUACUCUGACUGUGCUAAGGUAGCAUAAUAAAUUGUCUUUUAAUUUAAGACUUGUAUAAAUGGGUGAUUAAUCGAAGGCUGUCUUUUUUAUGGUAAAAUUAAUUUACUUUAUAAGGUGAAAAUUCCUUUUUUAAAAUAUCAGACGAGAAGACCCUUAGAGUUUAUAGAUUUUAUUUUGUUGGGGCGACAGGAAAGCAGAAAACCUUUCUACAUAAAUAUUUUUAUUUAUCAUUAUUACUACUAAAUAAACUACCUAAGGGAUAACAGCAUAAUUUUUUUUAAAGAUUAUGACCUCGAUGUUGGAUUAAGGACUUAUAUUUGCUAACAGCUAAAUAAGAUUGUUCUGUUCGAACA
rnacentral:rRNA from 1 species